rnacentral:rRNA from 1 species
AGAGCGAACGCUGGCGGCGUGCUUAACACAUGCAAGUCGAACGCGCAGCAUUCUGUAGCAAUACAGGGUGUGGGCGCGUGGCGAACGGGUGCGUAACACGUGGAUAACCUUCCUUGAGGUGGGGAAUAACCCAGUGAAAAUUGGGCUAAUACCGCAUAAUACCUUCGGGUCAAAGGAGCAAUUCGCUUAAGGAGGGGGUCGCGGCCGAUUAGUUAGUUGGCGGGGUAAUGGCCCACCAAGACUAUGAUCGGUA